AGACGAACCGUACGAACGUUAUUCGGAAUUACUGGGCUUAAAGGGUGCGUAGGCGGCGCGGUAAGUUGGGUGUGAAAUCCCUCGGCUCAACCGAGGAACUGCGCCCAAAACUAUCGUGCUCGAGGGAGAUAGAGGUGAGCGGAACUUAGGGUGGAGCGGUGAAAUGCGUUGAUAUCAUAAGGAACACCAGUUGCGAAGGCGGCUCACUGGGUCUCUUCUGACGCUGAGGCACGAAAGCUAGGGGAGCGAACGGGAUUAGAAACCCCAGUAGUCC
rnacentral:rRNA from 1 species